rnacentral:misc_RNA from 1 species
AAAAAAAAAAAAAAUUCAUGUAUUUCACCUUUUAAAGGAGAUCAAUACAGUCUAAGAAUGGACACAGCCAUUGAGCCAUCAAAACUCCUCUUCAUGGAUGUUAAAUUACGGAAGAGGUCAAGGGUAUAUUAAACAGAGUGCAUUGAUGAAUUAUAUGUACAUUUACCUGUGUUUCUAUAGGUCCUAAACUGAGUCCUCUAGCAAAUUCAAAAACAGAAUCCUGGAAAAUGCCAUUCCAGUUCAAAUGCAUAGGAUCUCUCAGAGGCCAUAAGAAGGUGGUGUGGUGCCUGGCCCUGUACAAACAGAGACUGUACAGCUCUGGGGCCGACAACCUGAUCAAGGCGUGGGAUCUGGACGUACUCACCAACGGCUGUAUCAAGACCAUGGAGGGGCACACCGGGGUGGUGCACUCUAUGGCCACUUAUGAGAACUCACUGGUGUCGGGGGGAGAGGAUUUGUCCAUCAGGGUCUGGAACUUGGAUUCUCACACAGAAGAAAAUUGUAUCUUUAAUGCUCAUGAUAACCUGAUCAGCUCCAUGGUUGUUGUUGGGGACAACUUGUUCACUGCCUCCUACUCUCUCAUCAAAGUUUGGGAUAUGAAGACUCUCUCAUUAGUUCACACAAUAUCAGGGCUACAUCACUGGGUUCGAGCUCUGGUUGUAAGCCAGGACAAGGAAUGUCUAUACAGUGGAUGCCAUAAUACCAUUGGCAUUUGGAGCACCUCUGGAUCUUUCCAACAUUUAGGAAACAUUCCUCAUAACUAUGGGUCAAUUUACUCUCUGGCCAUAACUCAUGAAUUUCUCAUUGCAGGAACAUACAACAGAAAUAUACAGGUCUUCAAUUUGUCAAACAAUCAACAUGUCUUCUCACUUAGAGGUCACAUUGGGGUCGUGACCUCUCUUACUGUGACCCCAUCAGGUCACUUCUUGGUUUCCUCAUCCAGUGACCAGACUAUAAUGAUUUGGAACCUUGAGAAUAUGCUGCCAAUCCAGACCCUUCACCGGCACGAGAGCGGAGUCAAUGCCGUGAUUCUGUUCAGAGACUUCCUGCUGUCAGGCUCAGAGGACAAUGAAAUCAAGCUGUUUCAGUACUUCCAAAUGCAGAUGGGAUUUGCUCUACAGACGUAAACAAGGCGUGGUUCUUCUUGAUGCAUCACCUGUUUCUGUGCUUCACUCUCCUGUUUCAAGGCUCAGCAUCAUCUCUACAUAUACCUCAUGUCUUUCAUUUGGAUUGCAAAUUUAGUGGACUUCAUGCAAAGUUGUAAAUUCAGCUGGUUUUUGAUUAAUGGUUGCAUUUAAAAUUUCAUAUUUACAUCACCCAAGAAUUUUCUCCUCUGUAUCUUAAAAAACCAAAUGUGAUUCAUAGCUCUAUAGAAACUGACUGGACUGAAAUCUACAAAAUCCAGUUCUCACCAGUUUAUUGAUUGGUCAAAACCUUCAGCUGUACUGAUGCAGUCGUGUACAUUAACAAUAAUUUAGGGUCUUUAAUUACUCUUUAUGAUCAAUUUAUUAAUUUGUUAAAAGAAAGCACUUUCUUUGAUGUUCAUGCGGAAUUUUAUUAUGAAAAUAAUAUUUCUUGUUAUGAACCUUUAGAUAAUCAGGGCCACCCAUUAUAUACAGGCAAGGGUAAUAUUCAUUGUCACUCCAGUUUGAUUUAUGCAUAUUUGUUUUCAUUCCAUAUUUAUAUGAUAUUUAUAGAUGUACACAUAUAUUUAAUUUGUAGACACUAAGUAUAAAUGUAUUUAAUUCCUAAUUUACAGUUUAUGUCAAUUUUAGAUAUACAUUUUUUAUCGUGUUUUUUUUAAUAAAAGAAUUCAAAGC